rnacentral:rRNA from 1 species
AACGAACGCUGGCGGCAGGCUUAACACAUGCAAGUCGAGCGCCCCGCAAGGGGAGCGGCAGACGGGUGAGUAACGCGUGGGAACGUACCCUUUGCUACGGAAUAGCUCCGGGAAACUGGAAUUAAUACCGUAUGUGCCCUACGGGGGAAAGAUUUAUCGGCAAAGGAUCGGCCCGCGUUGGAUUAGCUAGUUGGUGGGGUAAUGGCCUACCAAGGAGACGAUCCAUAGCUGGUCUGAGAGGAUGAUCAGCCACAUUGGGACUGAGACACGGCCCAAACUCCUACGGGAGGCAGCAGUGGGGAAUAUUGGACAAUGGGCGCAAGCCUGAUCCAGCCAUGCCGCGUGAGUGAUGGAGGCCUUAGGGUUGUAAAGCUCUUUCACCGGAGAAGAUAAUGACGGUAUCCGGAGAAGAAGCCCCGGCUAACUUCGUGCCAGCCGCCGCGGUAAUAC